GCGGAGUCUAGCUCUGUGGCCAGGCUGGAGUGCAGUGCAUGAUCUGGUUUACUGCAACCUCCACCUCCCCGGUUCAAGCGAUUCUCCUGCUUCAGCCUCCCAAAUAGCGGAGACUACAGGCGCACGCCAUCACGCCCAGAUUUUGUUUUUCUGGUAGAGAUGGGGUUUCACAUGUUGGCAAGGAUGGACUCUAUCUCCUGACCUCGUGAUCCGCCCGCCUCGGCCUCCCACAGUGCUAGGAUUACAGGCGUGAGCCACCGCGCCCGGCCUUGAGGACUUUUAUUACUCGAGACUGAGAGUACUGUCCCUACUUAGAUCUGACAGCCCCUUGUUGCUGGACUUGUGUGACUCGUGGCCUCGGUUUUUCUGGUUCCCUGUUUCGAUUACACAGGAGAGAGAGACCUUCCAGGACCCAAAGGUCUGAGCCCCUAGUUGCUCGCUCCUGGACCCUCAAUAUUGGCCCCCAGCCUUCUCCUCCCCCUGGGACCUCCGCGUGGGAGAAGAGGCGGAGGCGGGAGCGAGCGGAUAACCAUUGAACUACAUUUCCCGGAAAGCUAUGGGGUUGGCAGCGCUAAUCAGCUACGGACAAAGAGGCCCCAGGGCAUUCUGGGAGUCGUAGUCCUAGGGCUAAACCGUUCACUUCGUGGCUCGACAGCCGUUUCUAAGGGCCGUGAUGGGGUCGGCAGCGGCGUAGGGCGCCGGAUCUGGCCGAAAGCCUAGGUCCUGGGGCAGUGGAAGGAGAGGAAGCUGAAGGCCGGAGCCCGGUUCUUGACUCUGGAAGCCAGAGCAGUCACAAGGAUUCCUCUUCGGCAAAUGCUGGGAAAGUUCUAGUAUGAAAAGGCUGCAGCCUCUGUGACGUCAUGGAGCGAGAGGGGGGGCAUCCCUCCGUUACAGUCCAAUCAGACAGAGCUGGGUUUCUGGGCGGGGCCGAGGAAAAUCCCAGGGAAAUAUCUCUAAGGGAAUUCCGGCUGAGAAGCUGGGAGGAGAUUGCAGGAGUUCCUUGUAGAGAGGGGAUCCUCCGUGAAUCAGAAAAGCUCUCGAUUUUACGCAACCAACCUUACCCUCAUCCCCUACAAAAUCCUUGAUUUUAGCCCUUGGAAAAUUAGCGUGAGUGGUCCUGACCCCGGUUCCUCUUUAAAAGCCCCCAGAACCUGGACUGGGCCUCCCGACGAACCCUAGUGUUAGAGGACACAGCUUUCUCCUGCUCUCGGUUUGGGGUGAGAGCACCCUUCCUAACAGUCUCUGGGAACUGCGCGCUGGCUGCAAUGGGGCCGCAUUUUACCCUCCUGUGUGCGGCGCUGGCCGGUUGCUUGCUUAUUGCCGAGGGCUGUGUCAUCUGUGACCCGUCUGUCGUGCUGGCGCUAAAGUCCUUGGAGAAGGAUUACCUGCCUGGCCACCUAGAUGCGAGCCUUCACAAAACCUUAAUGGAUAAAGUAGAGAAGGCCGUGGCAGAUUUCCAGAAUCUGUCACUUACUGAGGAUGCCUAUAUGGGAGUCAUCGAUGAGGACACAUUGCAAAAGGCUUCCUGGAGUUUGCUGAAGGAUCUGAAACGCAUCACAGACAGUGAUGUAAAAGACAGUCUGUUCGUGAAGGAGCUGUUUUGGAUGCUGCACCUGCAGAAGGAAGCCCUUGCCGCCUCUGUUGCUCGAUUCCAAAGAGAGGCUUAUUGUCCCAACCAAUGUGGCAUGAUGCUGCAGACUCUGAUCUGGUGCAUGAACUGCAAAAAGGAGGUUCACGCUUGCCGAAAGUCCUACGAUUGCGGGGAGCGCGACGUGGAGGUUCCACAUAUGGAAGACAUGACCCUGGACUGUGAGUUAAACUGGCAUAAGGCUUCCGAGGGCCUCACUGAUUACAGCUUUUACAGGGUUUGGGGGAACAAUACUGAGACCCUGGUGUCCAAGGGGAAAGAGUCCACCCUAACCAAGCCCAUGGUGGGUCCAGAGGAUGCAGGCGACUACCGCUGCGAGCUGGGCACCGUGAAUUCCAGCCCAGCCACGAUCAUCCUUUUUCACGUCACAGUGUUGCCCAAAAGGGUCGAGGAGGAAAACCCGUCUCCAAACAUCGUAACUCUGGGGGAGGCCAGCCCUACCCAGAUCUCCGAGAUGACCUCGGAGUCGUCCAUAACCCUCCAGCCUCCGAAGCCAGACAGCAUGCUGAAAGGCCGCCUUCUGGGGCUGCUGAUCUGGGGCUCCGUGGCACUGAUAAUUGGCCUUACCUUUGCGUGAGCAACUCAUUGAAGAUGGCAGGCUUGGCUUGGAGUGAGAGGCGAGGCUUCCAGGAACCCAAUGCUGAAGCUGGUCUGGGCGCUACUGAGAACUGAGAGUGGGACUUUUCCCGAGGGGAUAUUUUGUCGAAGGAAGGUGAUCGAUUUCAUCAAGUCCUCACUGUUCGGCCUUGGCAGUGGAGCCGACGAGCAACCCCAGGUCCCCAAAGAAAAGGACACAGAUUCGAUGGACC